rnacentral:rRNA from 1 species
UACGUAGGGUGCGAGCGUUAUUCGGAAUUACUGGGCGUAAAGCGUGCGCAGGCGGCGCCGCAUGUCGAGUGUGAAAGCCCCGAGCUUAACUUGGGAAUUGCGCUCGAAACUACGGUGCUGGAGUGUGGCAGAGGAAGGUGGAAUUCCACGUGUAGCGGUGAAAUGCGUAGAGAUGUGGAGGAACACCGAUGGCGAAGGCAGCCUUCUGGGCCAACACUGACGCUCAUGCACGAAAGCGUGGGGAGCAAACAGG